AAUGUUAUUAUUCUAUUUCAUAAAGAAGUAAUGAAAUUUGAUAUUUUGUAUUGAAAAUGGUACGUAAAGUUAGAAUAUGCGAGAUGUUUGCCAAGCUCGGCUGUCCCGGGACGUUUUCCCUAAUGUAGGCUUUUGCGUCCGAGUGUCAUACACAAGAAGCGUGGAGUGAACGUGUUGGUGUGCUUGUUUUGCCAG